rnacentral:rRNA from 1 species
UACGUAGGGCGCAAGCGUUAUCCGGAAUUAUUGGGCGUAAAGAGCUCGUAGGCGGUUUGUCGCGUCUGCUGUGAAAGACCGGGGCUCAACUCCGGUUCUGCAGUGGGUACGGGCAGGCUAGAGUGCAGUAGGGGAGACUGGAAUUCCUGGUGUAGCGGUGAAAUGCGCAGAUAUCAGGAGGAACACCGAUGGCGAAGGCGGGUCUCUGGGCCGAUACUGACGCUGAGGAGCGAAAGUGUGGGGAGCGAACAGG